rnacentral:rRNA from 1 species
AAAGAAAGCGUAACAGCUCACUGGUCUAAAUAAGGGUCUUUGCGCCGAAAAUGUACCGGGGCUAAAGCCAUACACCGAAGCUGUGGAUGCACGUAUGUGCGUGGUAGCGGAGCGUUCCGUAAGCCUGUGAAGGGACAGUCGUGAGACAUCCUGGAGGUAUCGGAAGUGAGAAUGCUGACAUGAGUAACGAUAAAGGGAGUGAGAGACUCCCUCGCCGAAAGUCCAAGGGUUCCUGCUUAAAGUUAAUCUGAGCAGGGUUAGCCGGCCCCUAAGGCGAGGCCGAAAGGCGUAGUCGAUGGGAACCACGUUAAUAUUCGUGGGCCUGCAGGUAGUGACGGAUUGCGUGUGUUGUCAGGUCUUAUUGGAUUGAUCUGGCAGCGAAGCGGUUCCAGGAAAUAGCUCCUGCAUAUAGACCGUACCCUAAACCGACACUGGUGGACUGGUAGAGAAUACCAAGGCGCUUGAGAGAACUGCGUUGAAGGAACUCGGCAAAAUGCACGCGUAACUUCGGAAGAAGCGUGACCCUUAUUUAGGCAACUAGAUGAGGGUGGCACAGACCAGGGGGUAGCGACUGUUUACCAAAAACACAGGGCUCUGCGAAGUCGCAAGACGACGUAUAGGGUCUGACGCCUGCCCGGUGCUGGAAGGUUAAGAGGAGAUGUGCAAGCAUUGAAUUGAAGCCCCAGUAAACGGCGGCCGUAACUAUAACGGUCCUAAGGUAGCGAAAUUCCUUGUCGGGUAAGUUCCGACCUGCACGAAUGGCGUAACGACUUCCCCGCUGUCUCCAACGCAGACUCAGUGAAAUUGAAUUCCCCGUGAAGAUGCGGGGUUCCUGCGGUUAGACGGAAAGACCCCGUGCACCUUUACUAUAGCUUUACACUGGCAUUCGUGUCGACAUGUGUAGGAUAGGUGGUAGACUUUGAAGCCGUGGCGCCAGCCAUGGUGGAGUCAUCCUUGAAAUACCACCCUUAUCUAUAUGGAUGUCUAACUGCGGCCCGUUAUCCGGGUCCAGGACCGUGUAUGGUGGGUAGUUUGACUGGGGCGGUCGCCUCCUAAAGAGUAACGGAGGCGCGCGAUGGUAGGCUCAGGCCGGUUGGAAACCGGCUGCAAGAGUGCAAUGGCAUAAGCCUGCCUGACUGCGAGACUGACAAGUCGAGCAGAGACGAAAGUCGGUCAUAGUGAUCC